AUGGAGCAAGCGUUAUCCGGAUUUACUGGGUGUAAAGGGAGAGUAGGUGGCAGAGCAAGUCCGAAGUGAAAACCCAAAGCUCAACUAUGGGAAUGCUUUAGAAACUGCUCAGCUAGAGUGCAGGAGAGGCAAGUGGAAUUCUUAGUGUAGCGGUGAAAUGCGUAGAUAUUAGGAGGAACACCAGUGGCGAAGGCGGCUUGCUGGACUGUAACUGACACUGAGGCUCGAAAGCGUGGGGAGCAAACAGGAUUAGAUACCCUGGUAGUCCACGCUGUAAACGAUGAAUACUAGGUGUUGGGGAGCAAAAGCUCUUCGGUGCCGCAGCCAACGCAAUAAGUAUUCCACCUGGGGAGUACGUUCGCAAGAAUG
rnacentral:rRNA from 2 species